rnacentral:rRNA from 1 species
UAGGGAAUCUUCCACAAUGGACGCAAGUCUGAUGGAGCAACGCCGCGUGAGUGAAGAAGGUCUUCGGAUCGUAAAACUCUGUUGUUAGAGAAGAACACGAGUGAGAGUAACUGUUCAUUCGAUGACGGUAUCUAACCAGCAAGUCACGGCUAACUACCUGCCAG